UACGGAGGGUGCAAACGUUGCUCGGAAUCAUUGGGCGUAAAGCGCACGUAGGCGGCCUGUUAAGUCGGGUGUGAAAUCCCUCGGCUCAACCUGGGAACUGCAUUUGUGACUGCAUGGCUAGAGUUUGUCAGAGGGGGGUGGAAUUCCACGUGUAGCAGUGAAAUGCGUAGAUAUGUGGAGGAACACCGAUGGCGAAGGCAGCCCCCUGGGAUGUGACUGACGCUCAUGUACGAAAGCGUGGGGAGCAAACAGG
rnacentral:rRNA from 1 species